CUACGGUCUAAAAAUCACGUACUAUCAACUUAUUGCCUGACUAGAGUGGAUCUAUCUACUUGUUGAGAAAUAGGAGGAAAAGUUAUAAGUGUAUCUACAUAUUAUCCAGCAUUUAUCUUGCGUGCGACACUCAGCCACCUCGUGAACUUCACAGGGGUUGCCCGGGCCGUUUUGCUGGUCGGGGCAGGCAAAUGGGGACUGGAAAGUACGAUUCGUGAAGCGAGGUUAGAAUCGAAUAAAAUAUCGUGUGCCUCACGGAAAUAAAGUAUUUUCUGACGAAAUGUGAGUUUAUCUAUAAUAGAGAUAUACUAUAUAAUAUACUAUCCCACAAUAAUA